CAUUGCGCGCUCGUAGCUCAGCUGGAUAGAGUACCUGGCUACGAACCAGGCGGUCAGAGGUUCGAAUCCUCUCGAGC
rnacentral:tRNA from 1 species